GAUGAACGCUGGCGGCGUGCCUAAUACAUGCAAGUCGAGCGAACGGACGAGGAGCUUGCUCCUCUGACGUUAGCGGCGGACGGGUGAGUAACACGUGGAUAACCUACCUAUAAGACUGGGAUAACUUCGGGAAACCGGAGCUAAUACCGGAUAAUAUAUUGAACCGCAUGGUUCAAUAGUGAAAGACGGUUUUGCUGUCACUUAUAGAUGGAUCCGCGCCGCAUUAGCUAGUUGGUAAGGUAACGGCUUACCAAGGCAACGAUGCGUAGCCGACCUGAGAGGGUGAUCGGCCACACUGGAACUGAGACACGGUCCAGACUCCUACGGGAGGCAGCAGUAGGGAAUCUUCCGCAAUGGGCGAAAGCUUGACGGAGCAACGCCGCGUGAGUGAUGAAGGUCUUCGGAUCGUAAAACUCUGUUAUUAGGGAGGAACAAAUGUGUAAGUAACUAUGCACGUCUUGACGGUACCUAAUCAGAAAGCCACGGCUAACUACGUG
rnacentral:rRNA from 1 species